rnacentral:tRNA from 1 species
GCGUCGGUGGCGGAGUGGUCAAUCGCGACUGGCUGUAACCCAGUUGACUUAGGUCUACGUAGGUUCGAAUCCUACCCGGCGCA